rnacentral:rRNA from 2 species
GGAAUUCCACGUGUAGCGGUGAAAUGCGUAGAGAUGUGGAGGAACACCAGUGGCGAAGGCGACUCUCUGGUCUGUAACUGACGCUGAGGAGCGAAAGCGUGGGGAGCGAACAGGAUUAGAUACCCUGGUAGUCCACGCCGUAAACGAUGAGUGCUAAGUGUUAGGGGGUUUCCGCCCCUUAGUGCUGCAGCUAACGCAUUAAGCACUCCGCCUGGGGAGUACGGUCGCAAGACUGAAACUCAAAGGAAUUGACGGGGGCCCGCACAAGCGGUGGAGCAUGUGGUUUAAUUCGAAGCAACGCGAAGAACCUUACCAGGUCUUGACAUCCUCUGACAACCCUAGAGAUAGGGCUUUCCCUUCGGGGACAGAGUGACAGGUGGUGCAUGGUUGUCGUCAGCUCGUGUCGUGAGAUGUUGGGUUAAGUCCCGCAACGAGCGCAACCCUUGAUCUUAGUUGCCAGCAUUCAGUUGGGCACUCUAAGGUGACUGCCGGUGACAAACCGGAGGAAGGUGGGGAUGACGUCAAAUCAUCAUGCCCCCUUAUGACCUGGGCUACACACGUGCUACAAUGGACAGAACAAAGGGCUGCAAGACCGCAAGGUUUAGCCAAUCCCAUAAAU